rnacentral:rRNA from 1 species
CAGGCUUAACACAUGCAAGUCGAGGGGCAGCAUCAUCAAAGCUUGCUUUGAUGGAUGGCGACCGGCGCACGGGUGAGUAACACGUAUCCAACCUGCCGACAACACUGGGAUAGCCUUUCGAAAGAAAGAUUAAUACCGGAUGGUAUAGUUUUCCCGCAUGGGAUGAUUAUUAAAGAAUUUCGGUUGUCGAUGGGGAUGCGUUCCAUUAGGCAGUUGGCGGGGUAACGGCCCACCAAACCUACGAUGGAUAGGGGUUCUGAGAGGAAGGUCCCCCACAUUGGAACUGAGACACGGUCCAAACUCCUACGGGAGGCAGCAGUGAGGAAUAUUGGUCAAUGGACGAGAGUCUGAACCAGCCAAGUAGCGUGAAGGAUGACUGCCCUAUGGGUUGUAAACUUCUUUUAUACGGGAAUAAAGUGAGCCACGUGUGGCUUUUUGUAUGUACCGUAUGAAUAAGGAUCGGCUAACUCCGUGCCAGCAGCCGCGGUAAUACGGAGGAUCCGAGCGUUAUCCGGAUUUAUUGGGUUUAAAGGGAGCGUAGGCGGGUUGUUAAGUCAGUUGUGAAAGUUUGCGGCUCAACCGUAAAAUUGCAGUUGAUACUGGCGACCUUGAGUGCAACAGAGGUAGGCGGAAUUCGUGGUGUAGCGGUGAAAUGCUUAGAUAUCACGAAGAACUCCGAUUGCGAAGGCAGCUUACUGGAUUGUAACUGACGCUGAUGCUC